rnacentral:tRNA from 1 species
AAGUUACUAAAUUAAAUCUUUCUUAUAUUUUCAAAAUAUACGCUUUAUAUAAGCUAAAUAACUAGC